CAAAAAUUAACAUGUUAUGUAUACUAGCAGUCAAAAGAGAUUGUUGACCGUGGAUUGGAGGAACAAAAUAUCAACAAGAGAAGAAGGAGAAGAAGAAGAAGAUUAAGAAGAAACAGAGAGCGAGGAACUUUCGAGAAGAAGUCGCAUGAAGUUGACAUGCAUUACAAGGAGGGACAAAGGGGAACUUUUUAAAGGGCUUUCCAGAGAGCCGUGAUUUCUCGUUUGGGAAGGUCGUUUGUGCCGUUAAAGAAGUUGGUUGGUCAAUGGCAAAACCUUAACACCUCCAUAACAAGAGAAUGAUUAAGGAAAUUUACAGGGUAAUUAUUUCUGUUAAUUAUGCGUUAUUAUAUACGGACAGAGAAGAUAAUUGACCUAUGGAAGGUUCUGGACUUCCUGGCAUCCUUCCCAUCCACGGUAUUUAUUUAUUUAUUAUUUGCGGUUUUGUGGUUUUGGCAGAAUGGAAAUUGGAGAGAAGGCUCUUUGGAAGG